rnacentral:lncRNA from 1 species
UGACAAGGAAGUUUUAAGCGAUUAGACAAUCCAAAGAAAGUGGAUAUAUUAAUAUUUUUAUACUAUUAGUCAUAUUUUCCUAGUAUUUUUAGACUCUCAUCAUAUUGGUUCGAUUAGAGGUUUUGACUAGACUAGAUCCUCAUUGAUUCAGUGGACCGUCGAAUCUUGAUAAUACUCGUUUCAUGUGGAUGAUGUUACAUCCCAUAUUGGUG